UAUUAGAGUAGUUGUGUUCAGAAAGAGUUCAGUGGAAGGUGUUCUGGAGAACUCACAGCGUUUCUUCUGUGGCAUCGCUGUUAUUUUGUUUCCUGAUCUGAGGGCCGCGGGUCCCUUAAUCAGGUCAAGUGCGUGCUUCAUUACACUCGCUGGUAGCUGCCAUGUAAAGCACCAAAGCUCAUCUCAGAAGACCUGACCCUGGAGAGCUCACCGUAACGACUUCUGCACUGACGGCUGGACUAACCAUCGGCCGGGAUGUGAAUUUUAGUCCGCCAGUUAUUUGGUUCGGCGCUGAUGUUCCACGGGAUGCUCAGAUGUGCAGCGUGAGGUCUGUCAGGACGUGUUAGAGGGGUUCUGAAGACUCAAAGAGAGCAGAGCAGUCACUGAGCUGGAUUGAGAGAGACAGAAGGAGAACGAGAAGCUGAUGGCAUCUUCAGAUCUGCUCCACACUGAGCGUCUGCAUGUCUUCACUGAUGGAUCACAAGUGAGGCGAUGUGGUGUAGUGGUCAACCAUCUGGGUCAGGGACUCCAGGACGUCUAAAUAAGACUGAACGUGUCAUCAGAAAAAUAUCUAUAUACCUUGCUUUGACAAUGUUAUUAAAAACCAGAUAACUCUGAACAAACUGUUAACGUUACUGGAAGAAUAUUAAUUCAUAACCUUCUGAAAACAUUCUCUAUUUGUUGGAUAGCCAACCUACAAACACUCUCUUUCCUUAAAUCGAACUAAACUACCAAACUCAUGUUUGUUGCAUGCAAGAACAGUGU